UGAACUUUUAACUAGUGUUUUAUUGUCCCAGUAAACAAUUAACGUGCGUUCUUGCCCCAGCAGCAAAAUAAAAAGCUGUUAUGACCAAAAUAUUUGGUUGUGAAAUGAAUCGCAAGAUAGAACCAUGUUUUUCUUCUUGUCUUGAAGCUGGAUACCAAAUGAAGUGAUGGUAUCACAGCAUAUUAAUUGGUAACCCAAGUAUUGCUGAAUCUAUGCGAAGGGUGACAAGACAG